rnacentral:rRNA from 1 species
UACGUAGGGUGCAAGCGUUGUCCGGAAUUAUUGGGCGUAAAGGGCGCGUAGGCGGCUUUGCAAGUGACGGGUGAAAGCCCUCGGCUUAACCGAGGAACUGCCUGUCAGACUGUAAGGCUUGAGACCGGGAGAGGUGAGUGGAAUUCCCAGUGUAGCGGUGAAAUGCGUAGAUAUUGGGAGGAACACCAGUGGCGAAGGCGGCUCACUGGACCGGAACUGACGCUGAGGCGCGAAGGCCAGGGGAGCAAACGGG